rnacentral:lncRNA from 1 species
GGCAGGAAAGAUGGUGGAAUGAGGUGGACAUCAUUACCCUAGGUACAUGUAUGAUUGCCCAAAUAGUGUGACUCUACACCACGUACAACUAGGGAAGUGAAAAGUUGUGUUCCGUUUGUAUACAUUAAAUUGAAAUGCAUUCUGCUGCCAUGUAUAACUAAUUAGAACGAAUUUAAAAAGGGUGGAGCUGGGGAAUGGAAUGUGGCUCAGUGGUUGAGUGCCCCUAAGUUCAAUCCCAGGUACCAAAAAUAAUAAAUAAAUAAAUAAAUAAAUAAAUAAAUAAAUAAGCAAUUUAAACAUGCAGAGCAGCUUUCCCAGCAUGAAUAUGGGGAAAUUCAGAGAAGUCUUUCCGACUAGGGACUCCUCCUGAAACUCUCAGGGAACUGGGAAGUCCUUCACGAAUGGGGCUGUAUGAGGUUAAAAGACUGUGACGACCCGGUGGGCGAGCCAUUGACAAGCAAGGUCUGGUUGGGGAAGGUCCAAAGAAACUCGGGUGCAUCUCCGUGGCCUGGCUUCCAGAUCAUAUUUGAAUAGAUGGCUUUUAUUGUUUCAGGAAGACUCACAUACAUGGGUGUAUACACUAGAUGCCCUACUAUGCAACUUACUUUUUUACUUAAGGUACCAAAGACAUCUUGCUGAUGACUACAUAUAGCUCAAACUCACAAUCCAUGCAAUAGAUAUAACAGAACUUAUUCAGCUAGCACCCUAUUAAUGUACAGAUACUUUGGAAUCAGUGAUAGAAGGAACACGCCUGGAUAUUAGUUCCUGCAUACUGAGGUUUUUAGCACACAGGUCAGCUCCUGUCACUUGAUUCCUCUAGGGGAAAACACAAACUCCUUACCUGGGUUUCUGAUUCCUCCAUUCCCUGGUCCUGUCACCCUCUCUGAGCUCAUCAUGAUAUUCCCUCCCUGUGCCAUUAGACACCAGCUACACCAGCCUUAUUGCAGGUCCUUGAAAUGUGCCAAACCUGUCCCUGCCUUGAGGCUGCCGCUCUGGCUGUUCCCUCUUCUAGAAUGCCCUUCCCUGAUGCUCAGUGACAGUUUCCUCACCAGUGCUCUAGGGAAAUGUCACCUCUUCACAGAUGGCUUCCUGCUCACCCAAGUUUAAGUGGCCACCCUCCCUCUCCUCUGUCAUAUGUUCUCUAUGCAGCCUCCAAAAUACUUUAAUGUGUUCUCUUAAAAGAUACGUUGAAGUGUCUAACCCCAAGUGACCAUGACUGACCUUGUUUGGGAAUAGUUGCAGAUGCAGGCCCGUUAUGAUGACGUCACACCGCUGCACCUAGUAGAAGAAAACGUAGCCCCAACACUCCAUCACGUCAGCUUAAGAACGGACUUCCUCAAUGAGAAGUAAGAUCAAGAAUGAAUAAAUGGAGGGGCUGGGGUUGUGGCUCAGUGGUAGAGGGCUUGCCUAGUAUGGGUGAGGCACUGGGUUUGAUUCUCAGUACCACAUAUAAAUAAAUAAAUGUCCAUCAACAACUAACAAAAUAUUUUUUAAAAAGAAUGAAUAAAUGGAAAGGGAUCAAACUAAAAACUUGCUUCACGACAAAACAAAACCCGAUCAAUAAGUGGGCAAAGGAACUGAACAGGUGCUUCACAGAAGAAGAAAGACAAAUGGUCAACAAAUGUAAGAAAAAUGUUCCUCAUCUCAAGCAAAUAGAGAAACGCAAAUCAAAACUACACUGAGAUUUCAUCUCACUCCAAUCAGAAUGGCAAUUAUCAAGAAUACAAGGAACAGUACAUGUUGGCGAGGGUGUGGGGAAAAGGCACACUCAUACGUUGCCGGGGGAAUGCAGAUUAAGGCAAUCACUCUAGAAAGCAGUAUGGAGAUACCUUAGAAAACUUGGAGUGGAAACACCAUUUGACCCAGUAGUACUAUUCCUUGGUAUAUAUAUAUCCAAAGGACUUAAAAUCAGCAUACUACAGUGAUGCAGUCACAUCAGUGUUGAUAGUAGCUGAACUACUUCACAGUAGCUAAGCUAUGGAACUAACCUAGAGCCCUCCAACAGAUGAAUGGAUAAAGAAAAUGGGGUAUAUAUACACAUGGAAUAUUACUCAGUUAUAAAAAAGUGAAUUUAUGACUUUUGCCAGUAAAAAUCAGGAGACUAUUAUGCUAAGUGAAAUAAGCCAAUCCUAAAAAAACAAAGGUCAAAUGUUCUCUCUAAAUGUGGAUGGUGACCCAUAACAAGGGAGGGUAGGGAAAGGAAGUAUAGAUUAGACAAAGGGGAAUGAAGGGAAGGGAGGGGGGAUGGGAAUAGGAACACAGUAGAAUGAAUCGGACAUAACUUUCCUAUGUUCAUAGAUGAAUACAUGACCAGUGAAACUCCACCUCAUGUACAACCACAGGAUUGGGAUCCUAAUUAGAAUAAAUUUUACUGUGUGUAUGUAUAAUAUGUCAAAAUACACUUUACUGUCAUGUAUAUCUAAAAAAUUUUUAAAAAGAAAUGUGCAGAAUAGGCAAAUCAAUAAAGACAGAACAUGAAUGGUAGUUGUUUUGGGUGAGGAUACUAAGGGGAAUGGAGAGUAGCAGAUCAUUAGUAUAGAAAAGAGAUUUCUCUUUGGGGUGACUAGAAUAUUCUAACAUUAGAUUGAGGUGAUUGCCGUGCAACUCUCUGAAUAUACUGAACAACUUUAGAUCAUGUACAUUUUAAAUGGGCAAAUUGUAGAGUAUGUGAAUUAGGUCUCAGUAAAACUAUUCUUCAAAGAGUAGAGAAAAGGGAGGGUGGAGAUGAGGUCAUGCUGUAGUUGACCCCAAUCAAAUUAUUGGUGUCCUUAUAGGAAGAGAAAAAAUGUGGCAAAGAGACACAGGAGAGAAGAAUACCCUGUGGCACGUGAUGGGUUGGGACAGAGGCAUCUGAGAGCUAGGGGACACGAAGCUCCUCACCAACCCCCAGGAUCUGGGAGAGAGGCUAGGAGCCAACCCUACUGAUGCCUUGAUUUCAGACUUCUGUUCUCCAGGACUGUGAGGAAUAAGUUCCUGUUUCUUGAAUUCAUGAAGUUUGUGGCUAUUUGUUAUAGCAGCUACAGGAAACUAAUACACAGCCCCAGUCUUUGUCCAGUUCCUUCCUAGUUUCUUCCAUUGUUUCUUUGGGGUCUGCCUCUCCCAUGAGAAUGCAAGCUCCAUGAGAGCAGGGCCUUGUCACCACACCCCCAGUGACUGCCACGGUGACACUGACUGAAUGAAUCAACAGUGGGUUCAGCCUGAAGGAACCUAUCAGUGAGGCCGCUGAGUCGAAUGGCAGACUUUUGUUGUUGUUUGACACUGGGAAUUGCACCAGGGCCUCACUCCGGGCUGUCCCACCGGGCCUCCACCCCAGCCCCAGGCAGUGAGUCAGAUUUCUCUUCCCGAAACACCAUUGCUGUGGCACUCAGUUUCCUAAAUGUAUGCUACCCUCUCCCAGUAAUAAAAUUGUUGGU